UUGUCUACAGUUCAAGCUUUGUUACAGUGCUUGACACCGUUGUUAUCUUCCCAGUAUGGAGAGAUCCGCCGUCGAAUCACUUCCAGGACUGACUCCCCCAUUCGGGAACUUUGCGUUGUUACACUUUCUAGAAGGCUGGCUGUAUCACUAUUAGAACGACACGAGGGCGGUUCGAGGCCCACGACACGACAUGCGACUUUUCUACAUGUCCAGUGUGAACGGGAUACAUAUCUAAAAACAUAUUCUGACUGCUUCCAAUAUUGUUUGAGUCUCAACUGUGUAUGUCCACUGCUAUGACACAAGAGUUCGGAAAUUGGUGCAAAGACACAUUACGUGGUAUGCCGGAUGCAUGGAGGAAUCCUGGAUGCAUGGAGGAAUCCUGGAUUCAAGAAGAGAGCAGGUGCCUCGUUCAAGUAAUUCCACUGUAAUAGAUACUGGACAUUCGUGAAUGCACAGACUUAUUUAAUAAGGCAUUUUAUAUAUAGCUGCUGACACAUAUUUGACCAAUUUGUAUUUAUGAUUUAUAAACCAAAUCCUGUGUGUUU